AGAACGAACGCUGGCGGCAGGCUUAACACAUGCAAGUCGAACGGUUGUAGCAAUACAGCAGUGGCAGACGGGUGAGUAACACGUGGGAACCUUCCUAGGGGUACGGAACAACUCAGGGAAACUUGAGCUAAUACCGUAUACGUCCGUGAGGAGAAAGUUUUAACGCCCCUAGACGGGCCCGCGUAGGAUUAGGUAGUUGGUGAGGUAACGGCUCACCAAGCCUACGAUCCUUAGCUGAUCUGAGAGGAUGAUCAGCCACACUGGGACUGAGACACGGCCCAGACUCCGUACGGGAGGCAGCAGGUGGGGAAUCGUUGGACAAGUGGGCGCAAGCCUGAUCCAGCCAUGCCGCGUGAGUAGAAGAGGUCCUUGGGUUAGUAAA
rnacentral:rRNA from 1 species